GGCCAGGAUGUAGAUAGCGUAUAACAUUCUCUCGAAAUAAACCUUUCAACGUCUACUGAUCAUGAUUCCAUCUCUUUGUCUAAGUUCUCCAACAAAUACGGUCACAAUUCUGCAGGAUUUCAACAUCCAGGGGACCUGGGUUUGGUGGGUCUGGUUACGUCACUUUUUCUAUUGCAACAAAACAGAUUUAUGCUUAAUCUCAUUUUGAUAAUAGUGAUAUUGUACACUUCGUUGGAAGAACAAACGACGAAACUGCUAGGACAGUAUAACAUGCAACAGAAUAGGUUGCGUCACUCAACAGAGAGUGCUAUAUUCUAACGCCCGACGUAUGCCGACCCUGCCAGCCGUGCGCUAUAUUUGGGUACAGCUCCAGACUGGCGAUGACGUACGAUCAUGGCUGCCGGUUUAUGACGCAGCACUGCGAGGUCAUCUAGUGAAUAUCACAGCGAGAUUUAGGGAACAAAUCGGCCAGUCCUUGGUUUUAGAAACAACCGACACGCCGCUCUGAAACUAUGGACUCACAAGAAGAAAGCGUCAAACCUACAGACAACGUGGACUUCUUCCUGCUAGUUGAGGAAAAGAGAAUCCCGGUGGACAGAGACAUCCUUGUGAAGUCAAGCAACUACUUCCGGGCCAUGUUCUCCUCUGGGAUGAGGGAAAACUGUCAAAACGUCGUCGAACUUCACGGGUUGUCGUCUGCAAGUGUUCGCGCUCUCGUCAACCUUCUCCAAACAUCACAGCUCUCUUUAAGAGACACAGACAUUGAGGACUUCAUAGCUACGGCAAAUUUUCUACAGGUACAGAAAGCCGUAGAUUACGUUAAGUCACAUCUAGACGCUCACGCCUGUGUCGAUGUGCUGAACAUUGCGGAGUUAUACUGCAUUAACGACCUAGAAGAGGCUGCCUACAGUUUCUUGGUAGAUAAUUACUUCGAUAUCUUUAGGAAAGGACAAUAUGAAAGGCUUAGAGAAGAGCAGCAGACACGGGUGCGAGAACUUAGGAAGAGCAUCAAAAGUUACAUUUGCGCCAUUGUUGAGUACGACGAGGCAAGCGCAGAUACACCAAGAAAAACGCGUAAUCUUUAUUACCAUGACGACAAAGAGGAUGUUUUCAGGCCAUAUAAAACAGUUGAUUCCAGGGUACCAAAGUCUUCAUACGGAGCUGCCGUACUGGACAACAACUUGUACAUAGUGGGAGGGUAUGUAGAUGCCGGCGGGUCCACUGGUAGUGCCACUGGACAGGCCGUCGGCUCUGGGUUUCGGUUCGAUCCCAUGACGCGCCAAUGGCACGAGAUCAAACCUUUACAACAAGCGAGAGCCGGGUUUACACUGGCAGCUACCGAUACACACCUUUACGCCAUUGGUGGGAAGGCCGAAGUGGAUCUGUUCACUGUAGAAAGGUACGAUCCCAAGGACGACACUUGGACCUUCGUGGCACCCCUUCCGAGGCCCGUAAAGCCCGAGGCUGCUGCAGCUUGCAUGGGGGACGUCUAUGUCGCGGAGAGCGCGGCUCGCUUCAUGAGCCCCGACAGGCUACUGAAGUACUGCACGGGACAGGACGAGUGGACGGAUCUGGGGAAGAUCCCCUACAGACUGCAGUGCGACAGCGACAUGGUGUCCUUUGCAGACUUUGUCAUGGUCAUCGGCAGCCAUGCUAUCAAGAGUUACAACAUCACCAGCGGAGAGUGGUAUACAAUGAUGCGGCCAAUGGGCGGAGGCUACACGAAAAACCGUUUCGAUCACGUCGUCUACGACGGAGACAUCUUCUUUGUGGGGAGGGUGACGACCCAGCGCUGUACCCCCUCAAGAGGCGUAUGGGACUGUCUGGCCGGAGUACCCGGAUGUGGGUACAGGAAGGCGUUUGUGUUGAAGUUGAAGAGAUUGUUACCUUUUCCAGACGAGGUGUACAGCGGUGGCAAUGCCGGGAUUCGGAAAGCGAUGAACACGUAAAAUGGAAUGCCGUUCAAUACGGAACAACUAGCAAUGUUAGCCAGUUUGGUGGGCAUUGUAAAUGAUAGGAACGCUUUAAUUAACGGCAAAGUUAUAUCAUUGCAAAUGCACGACCAGAAACCCUUUCUUCAAGUUACCACAUGUACCCUGCCAAAGGUCCCAACAGUAUAGAAGUGGAGGACCACCGUAUUGGUUAUAGCAGAUGGCCACGCCGGGACGUAGUCAGGACAAAGAAUGGACCACCUUUGGCCUUAUAGAUGGAUUAUAACAGAUGGCCACACCGGGACGUAGUCGGGACAAUAGACCACCUUGGUAGGCAACACCAGAUGGUAACACCAGGACGUAGUCGGGACAAUAGCUUACACCAGAUGGCCACAACGAGACGUAGUCGGGGCGAUAGACCACCUUAAAAUAGGUUACACAAGAUGGCCACAACGGGACGUACUCAGGAAAAUAGACCACCUUAAUAAUAGGUGACACCAGAUGGCCACAGCGGGACGUAUUCGAGACGGUAGACCACCGGUUUUAAUAGGGCUUAUUCAGUCACGUGAUCCUCCCCCUGGCAACGAACGAAGUCGGCCAUUUUGGUGUACCACAGUCAGCCCGCCUACAGUGGGGCCCUAUGCAACUCGCCGUAGAAAUUGUAAAUAUUUCCCAAGCAAUGCACCAUUUCCGUUCAAAACGUUUAGUUUCACAAUCACAGUGCUUUGUCUUGACGUGGGAUGUUGGUUCUGCACUGGUAAAGCGCACACAGAUUGGGUAACAGUAAGAUUUGCUUCGCGAUUCUCUAGGAAAGCCGUGCGGGAAUGAAAAUACGAAGGGAAAUUCCGAAAACAAACAGCGGAGUCCAUAAAUGACAGCAGGAGCAUGUCCUCUAGUUCUUUGAUGAAUUUACAUGAAAAAAACAAAGAGUACAAGAUACUUACUGUGUGUGAACAAAAACCGCGGCACAGGAUACUAUCCUGUGGUCGUCCAACUUCUGAAUGUCGAACUUUCCCGAUCACUACGUAACGUUACUUCUAUCAACUAAAUCUCAUCCUACACUACAGUAUUUGUCCAGAUACUACGUUGUCGCAAGGAUUUUUCAUCAAGUUGUUGUAAGCCUGGUACGUUUUUAACUGAGUGUGCAGAAAGUCUUUCACAGAACAAAAUAACAAAGACAAGAUCGUCGGACUUCGCUGUCACCCCGUCACUGUUGCCGUGUCCGUAAAGUAGACUGGAUCUCCGAAAACUUUCCCUCAUUGAUGAAAUAUGGAUAAUUUCUAUCCGAUUUUUGUAGCGAAAAUAUGACUUGAGGUUGGGAGCUCUUUGCAUAGUCAAACAGCGUGCAAACGACUUCACUUUCCUCGGAGUUAGAGACCUUCGGACACCGAGAAUCUUCGCCGGGACUGGUGGUACACCAAGAUGGAGGCGCACGGAGGGAAGGGGUGAUGACGUCACGUGAAUAAGCCCUAUACAUUACUGGUUUGUUUUUUUUCUAAGAUUUUUGCAAGAUUUAAGACUCAAAUUUGCAACAAGUUUGGCACUGUCCGCCAUCUUUGUUUGGAAGGAAUGUUGCAUUGGGAACGGCUCAACGGAGUGGGAAAUAACACAGCGAUUUUCAAGGCAAAUAGUGGAAAACUGGACAAUGCUGAGCAAACUAUUUCAUGGUAAAAAUUCUGUGAAAAUAAGUGAAAAAUCUAUUACAGUUGCCU